GCCAGGCGUGGUGGCGCAUGCCUGUAGUCCCAGCUACUUGGGAGGUUGAGGCAUGAGAAUCACUUGAACCCAGGAGGCAGAGGUAGCAGUGAGCCGAGAUUGUGCCACUGCACUUCAGCCUGGGUGAUAGAGUGAGACCUUCUCUCAA
ensembl:misc_RNA Metazoa_SRP Metazoan signal recognition particle RNA